CAUCCCCCUGCUGCUGCUUACAUAAGAGGCUAAUAAAUAAAAUAGAAACACAAUACCCACUCUCACCGCAGGAUCCUCAAACUCUCACACAUGACACUGGCCCGGAGACUGCAGUGAAGGUCUUCGCACUGACAUUUUCCCUUACGCACAGGCAGGUGUGUAUUAUCCGCACACAUAUUCAAACAAACACUGUAACAAUGGAGUUUGAUGUGCUUUCUUUCUUUCUUUUUUUUUUUUUUUUUUCUUGUGACCUCUAGCGAUUUGGGUCAGCAUGUUCUGCUGAAACAUUCUGACUUAAUCUGUAAACAACGGGUUACCUUCAGCUGUGAGCUGCUCUGCACACAGAUUACACUUGAGCUUUUCCAAAAACAGACACAAAAAAAGUAAGGUGACCCUCUGUGGUACAGCUUCUCAGGAGCCUGGGCCGCUCUUCUACCUCAUUAAUUAAACACAAUAAAGAGUUAGGCCUCCAAGUUUUCCAUCAAGACCUGUAUUAGUAUCUACUUACUAUACAUCUUGGUCCUUUACCGUUAGUGUAAUGCUUUAAAUUUUCCUCCCCUUAAAAUGAAUUCACUAGACUCAGUUUGUCAGCACUGUAAGCCUUGCUUUAACUGGACACACAGUAACGUCAUGAUUCAGAUAAGGUUCAGAUGACUAUUAUGAAGGUAGAUCAAGCAACGUCACUGAUCACGUCUGUUGAGAUGAUGAUUCUUUCACUUAUUAGUUGAAAAUAGUCAAUUUUGUCAUGCCCCAUUAAGUAACAUACCUUUUCUCACUUUAUAAACGAUGUGAACACACCACUCAACAGGCAUAAGGUGCGACUGUUUGCUUGGAUAAAAGUCUUUUUUUUCUGUGAAAUCUGCUGAUUCACUGCCCUUAAUCUUGCUGCCUUAUGUCCAUUGUUCAGUGUCCUUUUAAGACCCAACCUCCUCAAACAACUGUUUGUCACUUUAUACUUGUUUUCUCAAUACUUUUCAGCUGUGAAAAAUGAACUUUCAGCACCACCACACCUUUUUUAAAAGCCACAGUUUCUUUCUUACUUGAAGAAUAUGAUCAUCUUUUAAAUCCCUUUUAAAAACACACUUUUACUCCUUGGCUUUUGAUACUUUUUAGUGUUAUUUUGUUUUUUAUCAUUUUAGCACUUGCUGUGAGCCUCCUUAUUUAUUUACUUAUUUAUCCCCUUGCAUUAAUGUAUUUCUGCUCGCCUUAUCUUGUUC